UACGUAGGGGGCAAGCGUUGUCCGGAUUUAUUGGGCGUAAAGAGCGUGUAGGCGGUUUGGUAGGUCCGCUGUGAAAACUCGAGGCUCAACCUCGAGACGCCGGUGGAAACCAUCAGACUAGAGUCCGGAAGAGGAGAGUGGAAUUCCUGGUGUAGCGGUGAAAUGCGCAGAUAUCAGGAGGAACACCAAUUGCGAAGGCAGCUCGCUGGUACGUAACUGACGCUGAGACGCGAAAGCGUGGGGAGCAAACAGG
rnacentral:rRNA from 1 species